GACGAACGCUGGCGGCGUGCUUAACACAUGCAAGUCGAACGGAAAGGCCCUGCUUUUGUGGGGUGCUCGAGUGGCGAACGGGUGAGUAACACGUGAGUAACCUGCCCUUGACUUUGGGAUAACUUCAGGAAACUGGGGCUAAUACCGGAUAGGAGCUCCUGCUGCAUGGUGGGGGUUGGAAAGUUUCGGCGGUUGGGGAUGGACUCGCGGCUUAUCAGCUUGUUGGUGGGGUAGUGGCUUACCAAGGCUUUGACGGGUAGCCGGCCUGAGAGGGUGACCGGCCACAUUGGUACUGAGAUACGGCCCAGACUCCUACGGGAGGCAGCAGUGGGGAAUAUUGCACAAUGGGCGGAAGCCUGAUGCAGCAACGCCGCGUGCGGGAUGACGGCCUUCGGGUUGUAAACCGCUUUCGCCUGUGACGAAGCGUGAGUGGCGGUAAUGGGUAAAGAAGCACCGGCUAACUAUGUG
rnacentral:rRNA from 1 species